rnacentral:ncRNA from 2 species
CAUCCAAGCUAGGGGUGCCCAUUGUGGGCUGAGAUUAGACUCUUAGUACCUGAGACUGGGUAAUACCAGCGGAGGGAAGCUGUUUAUUCGAGGA